rnacentral:rRNA from 1 species
UACGGGGGGGGCAAGCGUUGUUCGGAAUUACUGGGCGUAAAGGGCUCGUAGGCGGCCAACUAAGUCAUACGUGAAAUCCCUCGGCUUAACCGGGGAACUGCGUCUGAUACUGGAUGGCUUGAGAUUGGGAGAGGGAUGCGGAAUUCCAGGUGUAGCGGUGAAAUGCGUAGAUAUCGGAAGGAACAUCAGUGGCGAAAGCGACUUCCUGGACCAAUACUGACGCUCAUGUGCGAAAGCGUGGGGAGCAAACAGG